rnacentral:lncRNA from 1 species
AUCGUUGUGUAGACAGAGAUGAAAUAUAUUAGUUCAUAUUUUCCCAAAGCUUCUUAUUUUUUUUUUAAACAGGUGUAAGUUUGGUUUCUAAUUCAUUGGUAACUAAGCAGUCUGUUGAGGCUUUAAAUGAUCAGCCAGACCCAAAUCUCAUCUUUCAGCAGUCUGAUGUGUUCAUGUGAAGGAACUCUCUGGAGUUAUGUCAGGAGACUUUCUUGCAUCUCAAAUCCGAGUGUGAAUAGGGAAGCAGUGACUGGAGAGGACUGAGAGCAUUCAGUGUGGCCUGCUGUGUCUCAGGAACAUCCCACAUUUCCUUGAUGUUUAAUUUAAAUAGCCCUUUCUUCUUAUACGGAUCUGGUUCCACAUGUUCCCGUGUUAAAGUCAACAAAAGGUUCUAAAUAAAUCCCUGGUGCAACUGUGAGAGCUUCACUGAACCUGGUGAAAACUGUGCUGAGCUACAGAGUGGUGACUUCAUUGGAAACUGCAGCAGGAGGAGGAAGCUUGGAUGGAAAAAGGUCUGGUUUUGACUUCUUCUCUUCGGGCUGAGUAUCCAGAGAUCCCAAGAACACUUAAUCCAUGUUAAUUUCUCAUGUGAGCUAUUUCAAGUGAAGGAAUCUAAACUUUGGAAAUGAAGUUUCAUAAUAUGUUGUGACUCUUCCUCUUUGUUGUUUUCCAAGUGUUUAGAGAGUGUGCUUACUGGGCUUUGCUCAGUGGAGCACACACAGCACUGGCUACAAUAGGUGUAAGGUGGCUCUCACCACCUUAGACAGAAAGCAGGAUUUGUGGAAUUCUUUCCAGGUGUUGCUCCUCCCUGAGCUUACAGUUGUUGAAUUUCAAAUAUUGGCAAUCGAUGACAGAGCCUUCAAUUUCUUUUCAAGGGAACUUGCCUGUUGGAUUUGGCAGAGCAAUGGAGACAGCCUGAUGGCAGUGACUUCUGUUCUUGUCCCUGCAGAGGGGAAUGAGGACAUGGAUAAUCCUCUUUAAAAAGGACUGGAGCUCUCUCUGGAUUCCUCACACAGAAUCUCACUAUGAGUUUUCAUGCUGCAUCUGUAUUUCUCUGUAGCAAAAUAAAAAAAAUAAAAAAUAAUAUUAGUUGAAGUCU